GACGUAGGGGGCCAGCGUUGUUCGGAAUUACUGGGCGUAAAGGGCUCGUAGGCGGCCAACUAAGUCGGAUGUGAAAUCCCCAGGCUUAACCUGGGAACUGCAUCCGAUACUGGAUGGCUUGAAUCCGGGAGAGGGAUGCAGAAUUCCAGGUGUAGCGGUGAAAUGCGUAGAGAUCAGGAAGAACAUCGGUGGCGAAGGCGCUCUGCUGGACCAUAACUGACACUCAGGGACGAAAGCUAGGGGAGCGAAUGGG
rnacentral:rRNA from 1 species